rnacentral:lncRNA from 1 species
UAUGGAAAGGUACAAUUUAAGUGGAAGUCAAGCACGGAAUCUCACAAGAAGAGCCAUCGCACCUUCUUUUUGUUGGAGUAAGGGGUAGAUAUAUACAUAAAACUUUUAAUUACAAAUAGUGCCUGAUGCCUUAGAGAAUGUUGGGCAUUUUCCCGAGCAAACACGAUGUUCAACAAAUAAAUUGAGCUGAGAAGAAAAAAGAAUUGAUGAAAAAUUAUUGAAAAGAUUAAAUGUUGAGCC